AGUGAACGCUGGCGGCAUGCCUUACACAUGCAAGUCGAACGGCAGCACGGUUACUUCCAGCUGUUAGCGAGUGGCGAACGCGUGAGUGAUACAUCUGCACCUGUCCUUAAGUUUUCGAUGGCGCGGCGGAAGCCGGAUUUAUACCACAACCGCACUACAGAUGAGAGCGGAGGACCGUCAUCCCUCGCGCUCGAGGGUUGGCCGAUGCCGGAUUAGCUAGUUCGUGGGGUAAAGGCCUACCAAGGCGACGAUCAGUAGCUGGUCUGAGAGGACGAUCAGCCACACUGGGACUGAGACACGGUCCAGACUCCUACGGGAGGCAGCAGUGGGGAAUAUUGGACAAUGGGCGAAAGCCUGAUCCAGCCAUGCCGCGUGGGUGAAGAAGGCCUUCGGGUUGUAAAGCCCUUUUGUUCGGAAAGAAAAUCCUCGGCCUAAUACCGCGCGGGUAUGACGGUACCCGAAGAAUAAGCACCGGCUAACUACGUG
rnacentral:rRNA from 1 species